CCUAACCCUAACCCUAACCCAUGCAUUCCUAUGGGAAAAAAUCAAAUUUUUUAGGAACGUCCUAGAGACUCGGGAGUUGGUUCAUUGCACUCAGAAAAAUCCUAGCUCCAAGCCCAACCCUAACCCUAGCUCCAACACUAACCCUAACUCCAACCCUAACCCUAACCCUAGCUCCAACCCUAACCCUAACCCUAACCCAUGCAUUCCUAUGGGAAAAAUCAAAUUUUUUUAGGAAUGUCCUAGAGACUCGGGAGUUGGUUCAGUGCACUCAGAAAAAUCCUAGCUCCAAGCCCAACCCUAACCCUAGCUCCAACACUAACCCUAACUCCAACCCUAACCCUAACCCUAACCCUAGCUCCAACCCUAACCCUAACCCUAACCCUAACCCAUGCAUUCCUAUGGGAAAAAAUCAAAUUUUUUUAGGAAUGUCCUAGAGACUCGGGAGUUGGUUCAGUGCACUCAGAAAAUCCUAGCUCCAAGCCCAACCCUAACCCUAGCUCCAACACUAACCCUAACUCCAACCCUAACCCUAACCCUAACCCUAGCUCCAACCCUAACCCUAACCCUAACCCUAACCCAUGCAUUCCUAUGGGAAAAAAUCAAAUUUUUUAGGAACGUCCUAGAGACUCGGGAGUUGGUUCAUUGCACUCAGAAAAAUCCUAGCUCCAAGCCCAACCCUAACCCUAGCUCCAACACUAACCCUAACUCCAACCCUAACCCUAACCCUAACCCUAGCUCCAACCCUAACCCUAACCCUAACCCAUGCAUUCCUAUGGGAAAAAAUCAAAUUUUUUUAGGAACGUCCUAGAGACUCGGGAGUUGGUUCAUUGCACUCAGAAAAUCCUAGCUCCAAGCCCAACCCUAACCCUAGCUCCAACACUAACCCUAACUCCAACCCUAACCCUAACCCUAACCCUAGCUCCAACCCUAACCCUAACCAUAACCCUAACCCAUGCAUUCCUAUGGGAAAAAAUCAAAUUUUUUUAGGAACGUCCUAGAGACUCGGGAGUUGGUUCAUUGCACUCAGAAAAAUCCUAGCUCCAAGCCCAACCCUAACCCUAGCUCCAACACUAACCCUAACUCCAACCCUAACCCUAACCCUAACCCUAGCUCCAACCCUAACCCUAACCCUAACCCUAACCCAUGCAUUCCUAUGGGAAAAAAAUCAAAUUUUUUUAGGAACGUCCUAGAGACUCGGGAGUUGGUUCAUUGCACUCAGAAAAAUCCUAGCUCCAAGCCCAACCCUAACCCUAGCUCC